rnacentral:rRNA from 1 species
UACGUAGGGGGCGAGCGUUGUCCGGAUUUAUUGGGCGUAAAGAGCUCGUAGGCGGUUGGGUAAGUCGGGUGUGAAAACUCAGGGCUCAACUCUGAGACGCCACUCGAUACUGCUCUGACUCGAGUCCGGUAGGGGAGCGUGGAAUUCCCGGUGUAGCGGUGAAAUGCGCAGAUAUCGGGAGGAACACCAGUGGCGAAGGCGGCGCUCUGGGCCGGAACUGACGCUGAGGUGCGAAAGCGUGGGGAGCAAACAGG